rnacentral:rRNA from 1 species
AAACUCAAAGGAAUUGACGGGGGCCCGCACAAGCGGUGGAGCAUGUGGUUCAAUUCGACGCAACGCGAAGAACCUUACCAGCUCUUGACAUGCCCGGACGGUAUUCAGCGAUGGAUGCCUUCCCGCAAGGGACCGGGACACAGGUGCUGCAUGGCUGUCGUCAGCUCGUGUCGUGAGAUGUUGGGUUAAGUCCCGCAACGAGCGCAACCCUCAUCUUCAGUUGCCAUCAGGUCAAGCUGGGCACUCUGAAGAAACUGCCGGUGACAAGCCGGAGGAAGGCGGGGAUGACGUCAAGUCCUCAUGGCCUUUAUGGGCUGGGCUACACACGUGCUACAAUGGCGGUGACAAUGGGAUGCGAAGGGGCAACCCUUGGCCAAUCUCAAAAAACCGUCUCAGUUCGGAUUGUCCUCUGCAACUCGAGGGCAUGAAGCUGGAAUCGCUAGUAAUCGCGGAUCAGCACGCCGCGGUGAAUACGUUCCCGGGCCUUGUACACACCGCCUGUCACACCAUGGGAGUUGGCUUUACCCGAAGGCGACGCGCCAACCGCAAGGAGGCAGUCGACCACGGUAAGGUCAGCGACUGGGGUGAAGUCGUAACAA